UCUGUUGGUGAACCAGCGGAGGGAUCAUUG
rnacentral:rRNA from 1 species